rnacentral:rRNA from 1 species
UACGUAGGCAGCGAGCGUUGUUCGGAAUUACUGGGCGUAAAGCGCACGUAGGCGGCUUUGUAAGUUAGAGGUGAAAGCCUGAUGCUCAACAUCAGAAUUGCCUUUAAGACUGCAUCGCUUGAACGUCGGAGAGGGAAGUGGAAUUUCCGGUGUAGCGGUGAAAUGCGUAGAUAUCGGAAGGAACAUCAGUGGCGAAAGCGACUUCCUGGACCAGUACCGACGUUCAGGCACGAAAGCGUGGGGAGCAAACAGG